rnacentral:guide_RNA from 1 species
AUAAACAACAACAAUGCAUCUAAGAGACUGUGUAUGAU